UUAGUUGACAAGAUGAUCGCUGUUGAUUUUUCAGCAGAGGAAAGUCCGAACACCCUCCGAAUUUUUCGGAGAAGUAGGUAGUCGCUAACAACGACCUAGAGCGAUCUAAGGGAAAGUGCAACAGAAAAUAUACGGCCGAUUUCUACCCUAAAGGUAGAAAGGCAAAGGUGAAAUCGCGAGGUAAGAGCUCACGUCUCGCUUGAGCGAUCAAGCGGGGUGGAAAACCCUGCCUGGUGCAAGGUCGCGUCUCGAUCAUUCAUCGAGAAGAACCGCUUGACCCCGAGAGUAAUCGAAGGGCUUAGAAAGAUGAUCAUCAUCCGUCUUUUUUAAAAAAGACGGAACACAGAAUUCGGCUUACCAGUCAACUAACUUU
rnacentral:RNase_P_RNA from 1 species